rnacentral:misc_RNA from 1 species
AAGUCGUAACAAGGUUUCCGUAGGUGAACCUGCGGAAGGAUCAUUAACAAUGAAUCUCUUCAUUAACACCGUGAACUGUAGGGUGGGAGCCUAGGCCUAGGCUGAAUCUCCCGCCCAAACCCAAACACUAUAACUUUAAUCAGAGUCAAAUAACUUUUGUUAUAUAGACAACUUUUAGCAACGGAUCUCUAGGUUCUC